ACACCCACCCUUCCCCUGCCGAGUUCCCCGUCUCUCUCUCUCUUUCGCGAAGGAGGGAAGAAAGACGAAAGGAAGCGAAGCUGUAGUCGUCACCCCAAAUACGCAGACCGCUCGUGAGGAGGGCCGCCGAGGUUGAGAAGCCACCAAACUGGGAAAAAGGAAAAAGAAAGCAAAAAAAAUACUUCGAGAAGAACACAAGCACACACAGACGCGUCGCAUCGCACGCGAGGGGGGGAGCAGAGGAGGGAAGGAACCCUAGUCAAACAGAGAGCCGGAUCUGGGUUCCGCCGCCGCCGCCGACACCGACGACGACGACGCCGACGAUCGCCUGGGUCUGCCUGGAUGCUGAGAUCCUGUAUCGCUAGAAUCCAAAUUCUUGAGGUGGGUAAGAAGCGGGCAACAAGAGGACGAAGUGGGAUGGGUCUGAACAUGAAAGGAACCCAGCGAAGAAUGGUAUUCAGUUCUCCUUACUGGCCUCUUGUUGGUGUGCUAUCUCGCUAGUGGAAUGAAGCAUCCAGGCACCCCUUGAAUAUCCUGUUCUGGUUCUAUAUUACUGAUAUCUUGUGCUGGUUGUUGUUGCAGAUAUCUUAUUCUACAGAAGAUCAAUAGCAGCUCUCCUCCAGUCAGUGCUAUCACCCUAGAAGAUUGUAGCAGAAUUCACCAUUUAAAAUAUUCGAGCUAUAUGCAUUUACACAUGACAUGGGGUCUCGUGGAAGGAUAUUAUUUGAUCUCAAUGAGCUCCCAACAGAAGCUGAAGAAGAAGAAGCUGCAGUCGUUGUGUCCCAACCGCAACUUCCUGUUCCCACUGUAUAUCCCUCAACUUUAUUUCCACCACAGAAAGUGCCACAGUCUCAAGGGAUAUUGAACAACCAUGCCUUUAAGCAUGCAUCCUCUGGUUCAGGUUUUCAACCUUUUGUGAGAACCAAAGAUUCAGAAAAUUUGAAGGAACCGAUCAAAACAGAAAAGAAGUUGGACACUACUGCUGCUUCUACAUCUACGGUAACGAAUCAUGUAUCUGAUAGUGUCGCACAACAUGCUGAGCCCUCGAAUCAGGUUUCACAAGCAGUUGAAAGAGAAGAGGGAGAGUGGUCUGAUGCAGAUGGUGCUUCUGACACUGCAGGAAGUAGUCUCAGCAACAAAGAAGAGUCGUCUGGUACUGCAAGUACUCAAGUGAAAAGAGAUUCCCCAGAAAGAGAACCUGCUACUGUUAAGUCUUGUGGUGUGAUUAAAGAUGACACUGCUGCUGAGCCUAGUGACACUGAGAUGGCUGAUGUGUCUAAAGAUCCAGUUCUUCGUGCUCCAACAGGACUAGAGCCUCUGAAAAAUUUAGAUUGUAAAGGAAAUCAACCUGGGGAUGAUUUAGACCCAUGCAACAGGUCAAAGGAUGUCAGAGGAGUAGAAGCCAAUUAUGCAUUGAAGUUUACGAACAACCCUGCAAAGAGGCCUAAGUUGGAUGAGCACAAAGUAGCGAUGCUUGGAAAGAAGCGAGCCAGGCAGACUGUGUUCAUUAAUGUUGAGGAUGCAAAACAAGCUGGCACAAUGAAAACCAUAACACCCAGGAGACAAUCAUCUUUUCCAGCACCAAUUGUUACACGUACCGUGAAGGAAGCUUCUCGUGGUGUUGGUGAAAGAGCUGCAGAAAAACAGAGCAUGCCAGUCAUCAGGGAUCAGAGACAAACUGAUAUGGUCGGUUCUGAAAGAAGUAAUUCUGCAGAUCCAAGUGACCAAAAUGGUGAAUCCAAUGGUGAUGUUGAGUUGGGAACUUUGGGCAAGUCAAAGAAAAUUAAUGGUGAAGAACCCCCCUCAGAUGGCUUUCCUCAAUCUGUGCCAAGGCAGGCUUCUUCGAAGCAACCAUUGGAUUCUAAGCAGUUCAAGGGCAGACCACUCUCUUCCCAGAGAGGAGUUCUAACAGGACAAAAUACCGCAGAUCAGAAACAAGCCAACAAAAGGUCUCUUGUUCCAAAAAAACAAGCUUCAUCAAAUAGCACACAGUAUAAUGACACAUCUGUUGAACGGCUUAUACGGGAAGUGACAAGUGACAAGUUCUGGCACAAUCCUGAGGAGGAAGAACUUCAGUCUGUCCCUGGAAGCUUUGAUUCUGCCGAGGAGUACAUUAGAGUUUUUGAGCCUUUGCUUUUUGAGGAAUGCAGAGCUCAGCUAUAUAGUUCCUACGAGGAGAGUCUUGAGGCUGUAUCAAGAGAUGCACAUGUAAUGGUGCGUGUAAAGAGUGUGGAUAGGCGUGAAAGAGGAUGGUAUGAUGUUGUUGUUCUACCAACACAUGAAUAUAAAUGGAUUUUCAAAGAAGGUGAAGUUGCAGUUUUGUCGUUCCCUCGGCCUGGUCCAGCUUCCCAAUCAAGUAGAUCUAAUAGGAAGGCUGUUGCUUCAAAUGAAGACGCUGAAGCAGAAUGUGGACGGCUUGUAGGUACAGUCAGGCGCCAUAUGCCUAUUGAUACACGUGAUCCCAUUGGAGCAAUAAUCCAUUUUCAUGUUGGGGAUUCAUUUGAUUCUAGCAGCAACGAGACUAAUGUUCUGAGGAAACUCCAACCUCGGAGUACCUGGUAUCUAACUGGUCUCGGUUCCCUUGCAACAACACAGAGGGAAUAUGUAGCAUUGCAUGCUUUCCGCAGACUUAAUAUGCAGAUGCAAAAUGCAAUUCUUCAGCCAACUCCAGAGCAGUUCCCCAAGUACCAAGAGCAGCCACCUGCUAUGCCUGAUUGUUUCACUCCAAAUUUUUCUGAUCAUCUCAAUCGUACUUUCAACGGGCCUCAGCUAUCGGCAAUUCAUUGGGCUGCAAUGCAUACAGCUGCUGGCACAAGCAAUGGAGUAGUGAAGAAACAAGAACCAUGGCCUUUCACAUUAGUACAAGGUCCUCCGGGGACUGGGAAAACACAUACUGUGUGGGGAAUGUUAAAUGUUAUUCACCUUGUUCAGUAUCAACAUUACUAUGCAGCUCUCUUAAAGAAACUUGCUCCUGAAAGUUACAAGCAAGUUGCUAGUAGCACUAGCAGCAGUUCAGAGGUUUUCGCUGCAGGGUCUAUUGAUGAAGUUUUGCAGAGCAUGGAUCAGAACCUGUUUCGCACUCUUCCCAAACUUUGUCCCAAACCACGGAUGCUUGUGUGCGCCCCAUCAAAUGCUGCAACAGAUGAGCUGCUUUCUCGUGUUCUUGACCGAGGUUUCAUAGAUGGUGAGAUGAAGGUCUACCGCCCUGAUGUUGCUCGUGUUGGAGUUGAUACACAGUCUCGUGCUGCCCAAGCUGUUUCAGUGGAGCGACGGACAGAACAGCUUUUAAUGAAGGGCCGUGAUGAAGUAAUUGGGUGGUUACAGCAGCUAAAAGGACGCGAGCAGCAGUUAUCUCAGGAGAUAGCCCUUUUACAGAGGGAACUUAAUAUGGUUGCAGCGGCAGGUAGAUCCCAGGGUUCAGUUGGGGUAGAUCCUGAUAUGCUUGCCAACAGGGAUCGUAACCGUGAUAUGCUGCUUCAAAAACUUGCUGCCUCAGUAGAAAGCAGGGAUAAAGUACUUGUAGAGAUGUCGCGCCUGCUGAUAUUAGAAAGCAGGUUCCGUGGUGGUAGUAACUUCAAUCUGGAAGAUGCUAGGUCUAGUCUGGAAGCCAGUUUUGCCAAUGAAGCAGAAAUUGUUUUUACAACAGUGUCAAGCAGUGGCCGCAGGUUAUUUUCUCGCCUUAGUCAUGGUUUUGAUAUGGUUGUUAUCGAUGAGGCUGCUCAGGCCAGUGAAGUAGGAGUCCUCCCUCCACUUGCACUUGGUGCAGCUAGAUGUGUCUUGGUUGGUGACCCACAGCAGCUCCCUGCCACUGUUAUUAGCAAAGCGGCUGGAACUUUACUAUACAGCAGGAGUCUUUUUGAGAGGUUUCAGCAGGCUGGUUGCCCUACCAUUUUGUUGUCUGUGCAAUAUCGGAUGCACCCUCAGAUCCGUGAGUUUCCCUCAAGAUACUUCUAUCAAGGGCGUCUUACAGACAGUGAAAGUGUUGUCAAACUGCCUGAUGAGGCUUAUUACAGAGAUGCAUUAAUGUCACCUUACAUUUUCUAUGAUAUUUCACAUGGUCGUGAGUCUCAUAGAGGGGGGUCAUCUUCAUACCAGAAUGUUCAUGAAGCACAGUUUGCAUUGCGUUUGUAUGAGCAUCUUCAGAAGCUCAUGAAAGCUAACGGUGGCAAGAAAGUAUCUGUUGGUAUAAUCACUCCAUAUAAGUUGCAGUUGAAGUGUCUUCAGCGGGAAUUCGAGGAGGUUAUGAAUACUGAGGAAGGGAAAGAUAUCUACAUAAACACAGUUGAUGCUUUUCAAGGCCAGGAGCGUGAUGUGAUUAUUAUGUCUUGUGUCCGUGCUUCAAACCAUGGCGUGGGUUUUGUUGCAGAUAUACGCCGUAUGAAUGUUGCUCUUACUCGAGCUAGAAGAGCUCUGUGGGUUGUCGGUAAUGCCAAUGCUCUCAUGCAGUCAGAGGACUGGGCGGCAUUGGUAACAGAUGCAAAGGCCAGGAAAUGUUUCAUGGACCUGGAUAGCAUCCCCAAGGAUUUCCUGGCCAUGAAGAUUUCAUCCAACACUCCAGGCAGGAACUCUUCAAAUAACACAAGGAACAUGAGGACUGGUGGACCAAGACCGAGGCAUCUGGACAUGCUUCCGGACCCCAGGAAUGGCAUGAGGGCUGAUGAGGAUGAGCGUCCCAACUCUGUUCCAAGAAAUGCUAGUUACCGCAAUUUGGAUGAUCUGGGACGCCCUGGUGAUAGAUCUAGGGAAAAUUUGCAGUUUGGAAUGCCCAGGAGGCCAAAUUCAUCCAAUGGUUCUAGGCGAGAAGUCUGAGGAAAAUGCAUCGCUAUCUUCAGCUUUGCAUUUGCAGUGCAGCGUGGAAGUUGGUGGGCUUCUAUGGGAUACUUGGAUGGAGGAAAGUGUUGCCUGUUCAGAAGAUGUACACCCUGAGUGCUGUUAAGGAGAAGGCACUGUUACUGGAAGGACAAGAGGAUUCAUCGUGAAACAGUAGGCCUCUGGAAAAGCUGGGCUGCAACCAUAGCUGCUGACUAGAUGCUGAUCAGUUGCUGCUGUGCUGGGUGAGCUAUGGCUCUUGAUUCGUCUGGUUGCGGAACAAAGGAAGGCUUCCUCAGGCACUCAAGUGUUCUGCAAUUGUGCAGGAUGGAUUCUGUCAGACAUUGCAGUACUUGCUUUUUAGUGUGCUUUAACAGGAUCCAUCUUUCUCAUAGGCGUAUUUGGAGCAAGCUAUCUUCUUUUCAUCUUUGCUUGGACGCUGGUGGUUCAGGGUAUUAGGAAGCAUUGACUUGAAAAGUUCACCACAUAAUCUUUUUAUCGCAUGUGUCGUGUUGGUCCAUUUUCUUGAUUGUUUCCUGCACGAGCUGCCCUUCUGAAUCUGGUCCACCGAGGGCUAUGACUUCAAUCUUAGCUUGUUGGAUGAGGCUGUUUUGGUGGUGAUUGUUUGAUUUCACAGCUUGGUGAGAUCGGAUGGCCAAGCUGGCGUGUUCUCCUGGUACUUCGAAACCAAACAUGCUGCCGACUGCAAUUAUUUCAGUUGGGGACUACAAGAGACGAGAAUUUAACUGGGAGUGACCACUGCCUGCUCAUGGGCUGCUGCUUCCCGAGGGUCCUACCAUUUACAUGGUCAGCAUCAUCAGGUGAAACCGCUCGGCCGGCAGGUUUGGACUCUGAUGCUGGCGCCACCUAAACUCAACACUGCCAAUUAUUAGGCUGUCCAGUUUGGUUUCUCUGUUCGAGAUCUAAUGAAAGUCUGCAUUUUUUGUUAUGUCAAAGAGCAGUGAAAGGGUUUAAAUACCCAGUAACUUUUUGGAUGUAGAUUUCUAAUCAUAAUUUGGGCCAAAAUCUAGAUAUAAUCUGAGUUGUAUCGUUCAUAGGAGUUAAUUAAUUUGGAGAAUUGAGUUUUAUGUAUUGCGGAAAAUAUAAUUAACAUACACGUGCUGAAUAAAUAUGUACUCCUCUGUUCCUAAA